ACUUUCGAAUCUUAAUAAGAUCGUUACUAGUUUUCUUGCACGUUUCGCAAGUCUAACUAAUCUUACUAAGAAUCUUAAUUAAUUAAAUUUAACUGUUAUAUAUUUCACAUUAAAGCUAUCAACUUUUGGCAAUACUUGAAGUAGCAGCAAAAGGCAUAAAAGCAGCAGAAAGUGAAGCUUCUGUUAUAGCUAAAAAGGUUCCUUCACCUCAUGGUACAGUGCGUCUUUGUCAAGGAAUAGGAAGACAUCUUUAGUUACCCUAGAUAAGGAACACGGUACGAAAUGGAAAAGCGCGAAAGAUUUUUGAAUGGUACAUUGAAGUUUACCGUUUCGCUGGUAUGGUAUCUAUUUUUGUUAUUUUCGAAGAAGUUUUUGAAAAGUGAAAAGGAACAUGUCCACGUUUAUAUUUGAGCAUAAACAAAAAAUUUU